rnacentral:rRNA from 1 species
AGUGAACGCUGGCGGUAGGCCUAACACAUGCAAGUCGAACGGCAGCACAGUAAGAGCUUGCUCUUACGGGUGGCGAGUGGCGGACGGGUGAGGAAUACAUCGGAAUCUACUUUUUCGUGGGGGAUAACGUAGGGAAACUUACGCUAAUACCGCAUACGACCUACGGGUGAAAGCAGGGGAUCUUCGGACCUUGCGCGAUUGAAUGAGCCGAUGUCGGAUUAGCUAGUUGGCGGGGGAAAGGCCCACCAAGGCGACGAUCCGUAGCUGGUCUGAGAGGAUGAUCAGCCACACUGGAACUGAGACACGGUCCAGACUCCUACGGGAGGCAGCAGUGGGGAAUAUUGGACAAUGGGCGCAAGCCUGAUCCAGCAAUACCGCGUGGGUGAAGAAGGACUUCGGGUUGUAAAGCCCUUUUGUUGGGAAAGAAAAGCAGCAGGUUAAUACCCCGCUGUUCUGACGGUACCCAAAGAAUAAGCACCGGCUAACUUCGUG